AAGUCGUAACAAGGUUUCCGUAGGUGAACCUGCGGAAGGAUCAUUAAUAAUUUGCCGAACCUAGCGUUAGCGCGAGGUUCUGCGAUCACUUAUAUUUAAAACCCAACUCUUAAAUGUUAUAAUUAUGUAUUUUUUUUUAAAUGAUAAAAAAUUAAAAGAUCACUUUCAACAACGGAUCUCUUGGCUCUC
rnacentral:misc_RNA from 1 species